rnacentral:rRNA from 1 species
GAUGAACGCUGGCGGUCUGCUUAACACAUGCAAGUCGAGCGGGAACCUUCGGGUUCUAGCGGCGGACGGGUGAGUAACGCGUGAGAAUCUGCCCUCAGAACGGGCGAACAGUGGUAACGAACUGCUAAUACCCGACUGUGCUUACGUAGCGAAAGAAUUUAUUCGUCUGAGGAUGAGCUCGCGUCCGAUUAGUCUAGUUGGAGUGGUAACGGCACACCAAGGCAAUGAUCGGUAGCUGGUCUGAGAGGAUGACCAGCCACACUGGGACGUGAGACACGGCCCAGACUCCUACGGGAGGCAGCAGUGGGGAAUUUUCCGCAAUGGGCGCAAGCCUGACGGAGCAAGACCGCGUGGGGGAGGAA